UGGGGAAUAUUGCACAAUGGGGGAAACCCUGAUGCAGCGAUGCCGCGUGGAGGAAGAAGGUUUUCGGAUUGUAAACUCCUGUCGUAAGGGAAGAAAAAGGACGGUACCUUACAAGAAAGCUCCGGCUAACUACGUGCCAGCAGCCGCGGUAAUACGUAGGGAGCGAGCGUUGUCCGGAAUUACUGGGUGUAAAGGGAGCGUAGGCGGGACUGCAAGUCAGAUGUGAAAACUACGGGCUUAACCUGUAGACUGCAUUUGAAACUGUAGUUCUUGAGUGAAGUAGAGGUAAGCGGAAUUCCUAGUGUAGCGGUGAAAUGCGUAGAUAUUAGGAGGAACAUCGGUGGCGAAGGCGGCUUACUGGGCUUUUACUGACGCUGAGGCUCGAAAGCGUGGGGAGCAAACAGG
rnacentral:rRNA from 1 species